UGUUGGUCAAGCGGACGCCCGGAUUGGUUGAUUAUCGAAUCAAAAAUUUUAUUAGCGUCGCAGCAGCAGUCCUCUCAUCAGUGUUGAAGCGCAAGAGAAAAAAAAGAUGCAACUAUGGAUAAAAAUGGACAGAAAGGAAAAAGUGAUUUAUCGUGUGCGGGCUGCUACAAUGCCAUAGAAAAAGACGAAUACAUCGGUGCCCUCGGGCAGAGAUGGCACGCCGACUGCUUCAGGUGCUCGGUGUGCGAUAGUCAUCUAUCGAGCUGGUAUUUCGAGAAAGAAGGUCUGCUGUUCUGCAGGGAUGACUACUGGACAAAGUACGGCGAAUGUUGCCAACAGUGCGGUCAGAUAAUUUCCGGUCCGGUUAUGGUUGCUGGAGAUCACAAGUUUCAUCCGGAGUGUUUUUGCUGUGACUCGUGCAAGGUGUUUAUCGGCGACAGAGAAGCGUAUGCACUGGUGGAACGAUCCAAGUUAUUCUGUGGCCAAUGCUACAAAAAACGGACGAAUAAUACCACAAAGGUGGAGCGUCAAAUCCUGGACAGUGCCGUUACACAUGAAACCGACGGUUCGUCAAAGAAAACUCCACACUCCAUUCGCCUCGUAGAAAUUCCCUGGUCCAAUGCUAGGAAGGACGGCAUACGACUGUCCGCUGACGAUCAUCUUUUCGGCAUUCCGUCGCAUUCCGCCGUGGGAUGCAAAGGAGUUCGAAUAUCAGAGGUGUUCUGCACUUUCUAUGGGCAGCUUGGAAAAUACAUUUUCUCAUGUGUAUCAACUGCCCUAGACGCUUGUUGCGGGGUGCUACAUUGUAGAAUCGACCUAACAUCAGACUUGAUGUCACUUCACAUCGGAGACAAAAUUCUGGAAGUAAACGGGACACCGGUUCGGGAUGCCCCUUUGGAAAACGUCGAAAAAUUGAUCCAGAACUCUGGCAAGGUGCUUCAGCUGACGGUGGAACACGAUCCGGAAGUUGCCGAUCGGUGUCGUUUGGAUGAGAAUGGUGCCGACAAGCAUGAACAUUACGUCCCUCCGAUGGACAGUAACUGCAACAGUGCUGGUCUCACCGUAGCUGGAUCCGAAGUGCUCAAGGAACGCUCACCCUCGCCAAAUAAGUACGACAAGGAACGAAUUUUCAAGAAGAAGGACGAAGGUUAUAUAAGUGGAACUUCACGGAAGCUACAAAAACGAUUGAAGGACGUGAACUGCAAUAAUGCGUCGAACAGCCUCAAGGAGAAGGAGAGAAGUUCCAGUAUGUCCAAGCUGUUGGACGAGUACCAACAGCAUCAUCACACUGGGGAUUUUUACGAUCUGUCCCGUACGAAAUCGUUUCGAGUUGAGCAGAAGGCUGCUCGCAUCUUUCGUGCAUCUGACCUGGUGCAGGGUGAACUGCUGGGCAAAGGCUUCUUCGGUCAAGUUUUCAAGGUUACUCAUCGGGUGACACAGGAAGUGAUGGUAUUGAAAGAACUCUACCGAGUAGAUGAGGAAGCGCAGAACAAUUUUCUGAAAGAAGUAGCCGUGCUUCGAUCUCUAUCGCACAACAAUGUGUUGCGCUUUAUCGGAGUGUUGUACAAAGAUAAGAAGCUACACUUAGUGACGGAAUUCAUUCCGGGUGGUUCUUUGAAAGAACUGAUUCAUGACUCUGGGUUGCCCCUGCCGUGGGAGCUUCGAAUCAGUUUCGCGCGCGAUAUCUCAUGCGGUAUGAGUUACCUACAUUCCAUGAACAUUAUACAUCGGGACCUGAACUCGCUCAAUUGCCUCGUUCGGGAAGACAAAACAGUGAUAGUGGCCGAUUUUGGUUUGGCGCGAAUUAUAAAGCAACCGUUUAGUACUGCUUUCGAAAAAUGUUCUCCCUCAAAUGGGACGGGAACUAUUGGUCGUCGUGGCCGGCCUCGGCGGCAGCGAUACACUGUGGUAGGAAACCCUUACUGGAUGGCACCGGAAAUGAUGCGUGGGAACAAAUACGACGAAAAGGUGGAUAUUUUCUCGUUUGGCAUCAUGCUUUGCGAGAUCAUUGGACGAGUGCAAGCGGACCCGGAUUUCUUACCGAGGACUUCGGAUUUCGGACUGAAUCAGGCGGUUUUCAAGGACAAGUUCUGCGAGCAAUGCCCAGAAUCGUUCUAUAAAAUUGCUUUCUUAUGCUGUGAUUUAAACCCUGAUAAAAGGCCUCCAUUCGAUAUUCUGGAAGUGUGGUUCGAGAGCAUGGCUCGAAAUGCUCUUUUGGGCAAACCUCUUCCCAUGAAUGUCGUUACAGAUAUUAAUCACUUCAAGGGCCUGAGGAGCAAUGAUUCCAGCAUGUGUACAACUCCGGACGGACUAUCAACGCCUCCUGCCUCGGGUGUUAAACCGUCGCUAAGUCGCAAGAGGAUAAACGAAGGUAUGAUGAUAGAGGAGAAAGAAAAUUGUGAAAAGACGAUAAAAUCCGAUGAUCGUGGCGCGGGCGGUGUUGAUAUGGUAGACUGUGCGAAGGCUCCCAAGGGAGCAGCGGAAACGAAAGACAACGCGGAAAACAAUAACAAUAACAUUUCCAAUAGCGAUAGCACUAGCAGUAGCGUAAAUGUAAGCACUUUUAUUGUGGGGGAAACAGAAAUACCAAGGUCGCCUCAUUUGAGCAAGGAUUUUUCCCCAAAUGGUGACCGUAUUCGGGAUAGUAUAAGGGCUCGACGUAGGCAGCGGAUGAUACUUAAUAGAGAGAACCAGCGAAAAUCGUUGGACUCGAGUAACCUUGGUCUGAAGUUGAGUAGCAUGGAUUUAGUAGUUAAUGCGGACUCGAGCGUUUCGGAGCCAACCAGUCUGAUACAAAUUGAUCCGAACGCUUUAAAACAACCUCCGUCGACGGAGGACGUUCUGAAUUCGGUUAAGGAUACCUUGGAGAAGAACCCUCAACUGGCCAGAAGGUACGAUGAGUCACCAAAAACAAAACGUUACGGGGAGAAAGGUUUCAUAAUUCAAAUGAAUAAUGGCAAUUUAACUUUGAAUAACGUAAAAGACUUAGAAGGUUGCUCAGAUUUUGACUCAAGUUGUGACACAAGUUUGAAUUAUAUUGAUUUGAAUGGAAGUUGUGCAAAUGGUAAUUCGUUACUUAAUAUUGAGAGUGAAGACGUUGGUAAGGUGAGGGAUCCGAAAGAUAUUUGGUCAGUACCGAUGGUGAAGGUUUCGUCUGAAGUUGUGAACCAAAAUUCGCCAGUACUGCCAGAAUCGUCGAAAGCAUCACACAGAACUGCUUUAGAUGAUCUUAGAACUCAGUUGAGCAUGUGUAGAAAAGAUACUUUAGAAAAGCAGUCAGAAAAAGAAAACGUUAAAGUAGAGGUAGUCGCUGAAACUAAAGAUACAAAAAGCAGCAAUAGGGUUUUCAGCAAAAUAAACCCCCUCGCAACAAUUCUAGGAGGUAGGAACAGUUCACCUGAUAAGGCAAGGUCUAAAAGUCCACUGAAAACCAAUAAAUAUACAUCGAAACUUUUCCGGGUUAGUGAUACGCCAAUAUUUGAGCGACGUAAUAAUAGUUCUCCAGUUCCUCCGCCAAUGAAACGCAGCGACUCAGGUGAUCAAAUAAAGCCACCAAAAUCGGUAACUCAAGAAAAGCCAAUGUUCGCUUCUAAGCAGAAAGUUUCUCCUACUUCUGAUCUGAAACCGCAGUCUAGUUUUGUCGAAAGUGCUCCGACCUCGACCGGUAACAGCUAUGCCAUCAGUAAGCUCAAAGCCUCAAGAAAUAUAUUUUCGGACAAAAAUCUUCCCCAAGUGUUUGUCUACAAAGCCAAAAAGACACCAACUACAACGGCCUUCGUGCCGACCUCGUAUGCCAUAUGUACAAGUAGCACUAGUACUAUUACUAGCAGUAAGACUAAAUCGCCAGCAGUAACAGUAGAAAAGCCGCCCACAAAUAGAAAGCCGCCGAUUGCAGGUGGCGCCACUAGCACUAGUAGUUGUAUAGUUAGUUUAAAUAAGAAUCGCACUUUUCGACCGACGGAAAGUGGCUCGCCGAGAUACUCGAGGCACCAGCACUUGGAAAAGCCGGUCGAAAAAUAUGUGGCCUUAUCGUCGCCGUCUCGUAGCGGCAGUGGUAGCAAUUCUCGAACCGAGUCCCCCUCGCCAACCAGUGGCACCAGUGGCUCUCAAAGUCGGUCACGGAUGGCCAACAACCGCAUGGGCAUACUCUCGCCGGAGAGUAUCCGAAAGUUGAACGCCAGACUGUUGGAAACUCGCAAAUUGUCGAACGAAAGUGAGACCACCGGGGCCAGCAGUUCUUCGAUGAGAGGUAGAUCGACGGGACAUAGCGAGAAAUCGAUGGGUGUGCACAAAGGGGACGCCCAGAAGGAGAAAAAGAGCCACUCAAUUGUGAAAACCAAACGAGGGGAGAUUAAGGCGGCAGCAAUUUGAGCUUGUACCUAGUUGAAUCUUGAACAGUUUAGUCAUCGUGCUUAAUAAUUCGACCAGUUUCUAAUAAUCUUGUUUGAUCGUAGGCUUGACAAAAUAGAUCACAUCUACAAUAUCAUCAGCAAUAUUUCGACGGUUUAGGUUUUUUUCUGCGAUGGAAUUUCAUCCAAAAGAUUUUUUGGAAAAAAAAUUCUAAUUUUUUAAUUUUUGGUCUAAAAUAUUCGAUUUCUUAAGGUACAGUGGGGUAAAUGGGGUAAGUGAAAAAGCCUCCAGGAAAGCCUCCAGGAAAUUGAUUUCAUAGUUUAGGAUGUUCCUCCAGCGAUUUGUUUAUAAAAUCCUCUGGAAUCCAUUUAGGAGUUUCUCCUCUAGGUAUUCUUUCCGAAUGUCUUUACGGAUUUCCCUUUAUAAGUUCCGUCGGAUGUUCCUUUAAAGCUAAUACAUUCUUUUCAGUAAUUUCUUUAGGAAGCUCAUUUAGAAUUUCGUUCGUUUAGGGUGAUUAUACAAUUGAUUCCGUGGUGAGUUUCAAAUUCACCACAUGUUUUUCUACUCCCAUUUUCAAACGGCCAAUUUAAGCGUAAUAAUGUUUGUUCAGUUCUGAAAUUUAAGUCGAUUGCUCAGCAUAAUUGAAUAAAUGAUCUGCCAUUGUUGCAUCCCUCAUGCGUGUUAUGCAACGUACACACCAGUCAAGCAGUUUGACGAACAUUGACUCCGCCCCAAGAAAACGCUUCGGUUGCUGCUUUGUUUGAACGUGUGUGAAGUUGAUCGAACAACCAUUUGACAGUUGGCGGCUCGGUUUGAAAAAAUUAAAACGGUUUGAUUUUGGUUUGAGUUGUCGGAAGUGGAGUCAAGGUUCACCGAACAUGUUUGAGCAUUUGUAGUGAAGUUGUACAAACCCCCAUAUAUUUUUUGAUGGUUGAUGCUCAAGUUGGCGCUUCGGUCGUUCGUGUGUGAUAUUGUUGUUCGAAUAAAUUGAUUGUUCGUGCCGCUGUUGGUCAAACUUGAUGGAUGUUUGAAUAAACAAGAGGUGGAGUCAAUGUUGGUCAAACUCUUGGAAAAUUUCGGCAAAAAGCACGAGGUUUCCAAGAUGACGAUUUGUGGCUUUGUUGUAUAAUCACCUUAAUGUCCAAGUAGGUUGGUCUAAUACCCGGAAAAUAGGCCUACCCCUACUACCUGUUUUACAACAAUAUUGCGCAUUUAAGAAUUAAAAUCGUACCCGGACCUGAAAUUUUUUUCAUCUUACAAACUCGAACCCGACCUGAACUCGAUAUUAUUCUAAUUUUCCAAACUCGAACCCGUCGAACCCAUCUCUUAACAUUCAUAUAUCUCUCUAUAGUUCUCUUAAAUGUUUUUUAUCCAUUUUUUAGCAUACAACACUGUGUUCAAUCGUAGCUAUGUUCAAUAUCCCAUGGCGAUAUACGGUUUCAACCGCUUCCAUAGGUUGGUUAAUCACUGCUUCUACACGUUUGUAACGUAAAUAGACUAAAUCAUUUUUAGGAUGUUCCAAUUCUUAUAAUGUUUAUCAUGUUGACUGCAUUACGAAUGUGACGAGGGUGUUCAUUACCCGAAAUAACGAGUGAUGAUCACGGUACAAAUAAUAAAAACUUUAUUUACUUCUUAAAACGUGUUGACUCGAUGACGUCAACCGGAUGACAAACGCAGCUGUCAACGGAAAGCCCAGGUGGAAAUUCUCGCAAGGUUGCCAGUUGUCUCCAACAUCUCCCUCCUAGUACCUACGGUACGCUUGAAACCAUUGCGGCGGUCUUCUGGUCCGUGAAGAACGUCGAGGUAGUAGAGCCGAUAGCUUACCAUCGAAGGCUGAAUAAAAUGCCGUGGAUGGUGAUGAUGAAGAUGACGUCGGUGUUGGAUGUUGAUUCGCUGAUGGAGAGGUUAAUGGUGGAAAUUCUCGCAAGGUUGCCAGUUGUCUCCAACAUAUAUGAUGAGACCUUGAAUUUAAUUUUGAAAGCAGCUUCUGAUUAUUCUUCUUUUUCUUCUUAUUGACAUUAUAUCCCCCACUGCACUAUGGGGAAAAGGGUGGCCAUUAAUCGAACAAUUUACUCCAAUUUGUCUAAUUUAUAUAUCAUAUGAAAGUAUAUACCCUAAAUAAGAGAAUCGGAAAAUAUUGAAGCGCUGUGUUUAUUCAGUCAAAAGAUAUGGGCUGGUGAAGUGAAAAAAGCUGAUAAAAAUAAAAAAUCAUUACCAUUUUGAUUUGUAUGUUAUGAAGUCAUUUUUUCUCCAAAUAUAAGGUUUUAUAUACCAUUUCGAAGCUUGCAACUUUAGCUUUCUGAUAGACUGGUUUGUCUUGCAAGCGAAGUUUAACCCUUAUGCGGCCGACGGGGUACCCGUGUUCCUUUUUCAAAUUCAAGUGGUGAUAUUUCAAUGAAUUUAUAUAGCUGAAAGCUGAAACUCGGUGACAUCUAAGAACUCCAUAAAAUGUAGCAUCUGUGAGAAAA